CAAGUUUAAUUAUUAACUUCGAGGAAAUAGUCCGAAUCUAACGAAGUAUAACUUGUGGAGAAUGGAUGUUGACAUGAUGAUGCAAGCUCGCCAGUGUUUAAAACCAAUAUGAAGCUUGAUUUAGACACUGCAGUAUAAGGAGAGAGGCAGACCAGAAACCUUUGGCUAAAGCAAAGAUAAUAUGCAUAACAUAAGUAGUUACAUAAUUCACAAGAGUGCAAAGUUAUGAUGACCAUGCAGAGACAAGAUACCAUAACAAAGACAUGCAUGAAGAAGGAUGUUCACUCAAUUUUUCAGAAUAAUGUGUCAGAUUGAAAGUCAUCUUAUGUUGGACAAAACAAUCAGGACGUUCAUCUGGAUCACAGCUAACACAAAUUAAAGUAUUGACAAAACCAAAGAUUACCUGGUAGUCUGCAAAUGGAGUGAUCAUUGGAUGAGCCAGACAACACCAUUUUCCUCAGAAAUUUUAGCAUAGAGACAAGUCACUUGAUCUCCAUCUUCAUUCAUAGAU